rnacentral:rRNA from 1 species
GCGCCGUAGCAAUACGGAGCGGCAGACGGGUGAGUAACACGUGGGAACGUACCUUUUGGUUCGGAACAACACAGGGAAACUUGUGCUAAUACCGGAUAAGCCCUUACGGGGAAAGAUUUAUCGCCGAAAGAUCGGCCCGCGUCUGAUUAGCUAGUUGGUGAGGUAACGGCUCACCAAGGCGACGAUCAGUAGCUGGUCUGAGAGGAUGAUCAGCCACACUGGGACUGAGACACGGCCCAGACUCCUACGGGAGGCAGCAGUGGGGAAUAUUGGACAAUGGGCGCAAGCCUGAUCCAGCCAUGCCGCGUGAGUGAUGAAGGCCCUAGGG